CAGUAGCCACGGUAAUGCGAAGGGGGCUAGCGUUGCUCGGAAUGACUGGGCGUAAAGGGCGCGUAGGCGACGAUCAAAGUCAGGCGUGAAAUUCCUGGGCUCAACCUGGGGGCUGCGUUUGAUACUUGAUUGCUAGAGUGGGGAAGAGGGUCUUGGAAUUCCCAGUGUAGAGGUGAAAUUCGUAGAUAUUGGGAAGAACACCGGUGGCGAAGGCGGCGACCUGGUCCUUGACUGACGCUGAGGCGCGAAAGCGUGGGGAGCAAACAGGAUUAGAUACCCCCGUAGUCCCUGUCUCUUAUAC
rnacentral:rRNA from 1 species